rnacentral:rRNA from 1 species
AGAUUGAACGCUGGCGGCAUGCCUAACACAUGCAAGUCGAACGGGAGUAGCAAUACUCUAGUGGCGGACGGGUGAGGAAUACGUAGGAAUUUGCCCUUAAGUGGGGGAUAACCCGGGGAACCCGGAUUAAUACCGCAUGACCUCGAAAGAGCAAAGUGGGGGAUCGCAAGACCUCACGCUUUUGGAGAAGCCUACGUCGGAUUAGCUAGUUGGUGAGGUAAUGGCUCACCAAGGCGACGAUCCGUAACUGGUCUGAGAGGAUGAUCAGUCACACCGGAACUGAGACACGGUCCGGACUCCUACGGGAGGCAGCAGUGGGGAAUAUUGGACAAUGGGCGCAAGCCUGAUCCAGCAAUGCCGCGUGUGUGAAGAAGGCCUU